UACGUAGGGAGCAAGCGUUGUCCGGAAUCAUUGGGCGUAAAGCGCGCGUAGGUGGCCCCGUAAGUCCGCUGUGAAAGUCAAAGGCUCAACCUUUGAAAGCCGGUGGAUACUGUGGGACUAGAGUACGGAAGAGGCGAGUGGAAUUCCUGGUGUAGCGGUGGAAUGCGCAGAUAUCAGGAGGAACACCAAUAGCGAAGGCAGCUCGCUGGGACGUUACUGGCACUGAGGCGCGAAAGCGUGGGGAGCGAACAGGG
rnacentral:rRNA from 1 species